rnacentral:rRNA from 2 species
CCCCGGUAAACGGCGGCCGUAACUAUAACGGUCCUAAGGUAGCGAAAUUCCUUGUCGGGUAAGUUCCGACCUGCACGAAUGGCGUAAUGAUGGCCAGGCUGUCUCCACCCGAGACUCAGUGAAAUUGAACUCGCUGUGAAGAUGCAGUGUACCCGCGGCAAGACGGAAAGACCCCGUGAACCUUUACUAUAGCUUGACACUGAACAUUGAGCCUUGAUGUGUAGGAUAGGUGGGAGGCUUUGAAGUGUGGACGCCAGUCUGCAUGGAGCCGACCUUGAAAUACCACCCUUUAAUGUUUGAUGUUCUAACGUGGACCCGUAAUCCGGGUUGCGGACAGUGUCUGGUGGGUAGUUUGACUGGGGCGGUCUCCUCCUAAAGAGUAACGGAGGAGCACGAAGGUUGGCUAAUCCUGGUCGGACAUCAGGAGGUUAGUGCAAUGGCAUAAGCCAGCUUGACUGCGAGCGUGACGGCGCGAGCAGGUGCGAAAGCAGGUCAUAGU